UACACCUCAACUUCGGGUAGGACUACCCGCUGAACUUAAGCAUAUCAAUAAGCGGAGGA
rnacentral:rRNA from 1 species